GACGAACGCUGGCGGCGUGCUUAACACAUGCGAGUCGAACGGAAAGGCCCUGCUUUUGUGGGGUGCUCGAGUGGCGAACGGGUGAGUAACACGUGAGUAACCUGCCCUUGACUUUGGGGUAACUUCAGGAAACUGGGGCUAAUACCGGAUAGGAGCUCCUGCUGCAUGGUGGGGGUUGGAAAGUUUCGGCGGUUGGGGAUGGACUCGCGGCUUAUCAGCUUGUUGGUGGGGUAGUGGCUUACCAAGGCUUUGACGGGUAGCCGGCCUGAGAGGGUGACCGGCCACAUUGGGACUGAGAUACGGCCCAGACUCCUACGGGAGGCAGCAGUGGGGAAUAUUGCACAAUGGGCGGAAGCCUGAUGCAGCAACGCCGCGUGCGGGAUGACGGCCUUCGGGUUGUAAACCGCUUUCGCCUGUGACGAAGCGUGAGUGACGGUAAUGGGUAAAGAAGCACCGGCUAACUACGUG
rnacentral:rRNA from 1 species